UUCACGGCGAUGGCAAUCCCAUGAUGCAUUUCACAAGCUCAGAGUUCCAGCGCUCAGAUUUAAAAACAUGGCGGACGGAGCCGGCACUGCGAGGGAGUUUCUGUACAAAUGGAUGAACGCGGGCCAGGGAAGGUGAACUCUGGUCAGACUGGCUGGAGGCAGCGUUAGCUCCCAUUAUGAAUAGUUUUUUUUCUUUGAAUUUAAUAAAGUUUUCUCUCUUAACAUUA